AAGGUGGCUGCUGACUGCAGAUAUAAGGUGGCAGCCAAUUACAGGGCUUCCCACAGGUCCCCCUUUACUUUAAAAUAUAAGAGGCAUGUAAGAAGCUGCAUCCUUGAGGAGACUGUGCCUGUCGUGGGUCAGGGCACUUCCACAGCGGGGGCCAAUCUAGCCUUACCUGUCCCUGGAAGGCAGGGCAGCGAGAGGCCCAGUUCCUGUCUUAAGUGGAGGUUGGCAUCUUGUGUGAGGCCCAAUUGCCCGUCUCUGGCUGUCCAGUCUAUCGCACCAAGGCGGCUUGGGGAGACAUACCCAUUUUUGUGCAUUGCCUCCUCCCACUUAGGAGCUGUAUCAAAGGUAUGUCAUCUUAUCAUUGUAAUUUGUCAUUCUGGUGUAAGAGGUGGGCUUAGUUUUAACUAUAUCUCCCUUUCAAUCACAUGGGGAACCCAACAGAGUGGCACUCAGAGCCCUUGCAUUGCAAGGGGGUCCAAAGCCUCCCUUUUCUGGCAGCCGUAGAAUCAUCAUAAUCCCAAGGGACAGGACCCAAGCUGUUAGUUCCAUCAUCUGAAAAACAAGAGCUGGGAAAAAAUCUCUCAGGGAUCAUUUUUGUCCCUGGAGUCAUCUGUAACAUUAUCCUGUAUUUGUUGCAUUUGAUCUAUUUGUCUAACCAAAUGCUCUGGCAGCCAUAUCGCAGAUUUCAUCUCUGUAGAGUAAAUGCAUACUGAUCCUCGUCCCCAGAAAAGGACUGGGUCUGGACCAUGCCAUGAAUUAGUCAGGGGGUCUCUCCAUAGUACAGAAGCAAAUUGCUUUUGUGUUUCAGUAUGGCAAAAACAGGUCGCUGCUGAUUCUCUGGCAGCAUCCAAGUUUUAAAAAUUAAGGAUGAAUAAGGCAUGAAAUAGCAUAUUUCUAGGUGGCCCCCUUGUAUGAUACCACUCCCCUUUUUUAUUUUAUCAACAGAUGUGAUCUUUUAAUUAUGCCUUUUAUAUGCUUAAUAUUAAUAUGUUCUAUCUUUGGAGUCCUUUUUGCAGUUCUUUGCAAAAUGACCAGUUUCUCCACAGGUAAAACAUUUUUGUUUAUGCUUUUGAGAUAAGAAAUGCUUAACUAUAAAUUCUUGCAAGGCAGCAGCUAUAGCAAGGCCUUGCUGGUAAGCAGUUCCAAUGUCAGAGCAAAGGCAUAUAUCAGGUCCUUGCUUAAUGCUUGUGAGAGAGGAACUCAUAUCGUCCUUUGUAAGCAGUUUUCUCCAUGCUUGAGCAGCUGCUGUUUGAAUUUGAGUGACAAGUGCUGGGCUAAAUUGCUUUUGGGCCUCUCUGUCUGCAUAGACGCCCUCCCCUAUUAAUAUAUCAAGGUCCCACCCCCCACUGCCAGAUUGUGUACUGUGCCUGGCGGUCUCUUCAUAAUUUUCUAUAUAUUCUGAUUUCCACAAAAGAUAAUCCCCACCUGAUAAAGUUGCUCAGGCCAAUCCUUGCCAAUCUGUAUGUGUGAGCCAGCCUCAGCCAAAGAAUCCAAAACAGCAAGAGUAUACACGGCUGUGUCUCCCUACUAUACAACCACUGUUUUUAAUUCUCUUUAUCAGUUUGAAAUGGAAACCAGAGUAUUGGCGGAAAACUCCGCCCUCUGCGUCCAUCGUUUCAGUCACAGAGAAAGCCUCCAUACCAUCUAGCUUCAAUAUUGGGUUAGGCCGGGGGUAAAAUUAGAAAUCAUGCCCUUCAGGAGGGGUCACUGAGCAGGAGAAAUCCCAGAGGAAACUCGGGGGUUUGUUUUACAUUCUAUUUUAGAACUUUCGAUUUUUAGCCUUUCUAAUUAGGCUAUUAACUCCUGAUGUUCUUUUUCCAGUUCAAUCUGUUGUUCAAAACUUCAAUUUGACCUCUUAAUUUUUUCCUAGUAUCAAAAGUUAUACACGCUGAAGUGGGAGCAGUGUGGCCAUUAUGGUAUGGGGGAGGGUACAUGGUUAGGGUCACGCUAAGGGCUUUGUCUGCACCGGCCACCUGUUGUGGGGUGGGGCUGCAGUGUGCUAAGCCUGGAAGGAGUUCCGCAUUAGCAAUUACUGGGUCACUUUUGCUCCCAAGAUAAAAGUUUAUUAAGCCCUAAUGGACACAAUUACUAAAUUUUUUCCUUUACUCUUCAUGUCUUUAAAGCCUUUCAACAAAAAUCUCAUGCUGGCUCAUUUCUUGCCCUAAUAGACAUAAUUGCUUAAUGUUUUUUUCCUUUACCCUUUGUGUCUGUAACUUUCAAUAAAAAUCUCAUGCUGGCUAAUUUCUUGUCCCAUAAUUGCUGUUCACUUACCGAGGUUCAGCGGUGCGGCAGGCUCCCACGUCGCCAAGUCCUUUAUUUUCUUUUCCUUUUUUCUACUUUGGGUCCACGAACAGCAUCCCUCACGAAGUCCUCAGUUCUUGUGUCUGACAUUGGGUGCCACUUGUCCUGGCCCGUGGGUGAGUCAACGUAGACGCUAGAGACGCAGUGGGGAUGAGAAGGGACAAGAGACACGAAGAAUGGAGACAAGACAAAAUUCUGAUCAAGUCUUGUUUAUUCAAAGAAAGAUUAACAAAUAUAUAGGGUAUUGGGGAAGGAGGGAGUUGGGUUCUGAGACAUCAGCAGGUAACUUAGCAACAGAGGCAAGACCGAGGGUUAUAAGUUAAUUCAAAUUUCUCCCAUGUAGGCUGAUAAAGUGGGCUGAUUAACAUAAUCCCUGAAUAGGCCAAACAGGCUAGGCAAGGAGCUGCUUAACUACCAAACUUAACUCCUAGAGGGGGUUAAGGUGGCUGCUGCUUGCAGAUAUAAGGUGGCAGCCAAUUACAGGGCUUCCCACAGGAAUGAACGGUAUUCAUUUUCCUGUACCAGUAAUAGAAUAACCACAAAAAAAAAAACCCAUGAAGGAUACAGAAUAUUUAGAAUACUGUUAACUAAUCUGUUACAACAGACAUACAGUACUCCAUCCCACACAAGAGAAUACAUGUGAUUCCAAUACACACAAACUACUCUCCAAGAUACAUCACAUUGUGCAUGAACAAACCACCUCAUUAAAUGUAUCAAAGACUGAAAUUGUAUCUCAGUUUUCUGGCCACAACGCAAACUACAGAAAAAAUCCAGUUCAUUAUGUUGAAUGAAGAAGUUUUCAGCAUAUAACUUUGCCCAUUCAUUUACCCACUGUCUAUGGCUGCUUUCGUGCUGUAAAUGCAUAACUAAACAGCCAUGAAUGAACACAUCAAUACAAGAGAAAAUACUUAAAUUGUAGGAAAAUAACAGGAAUUCUCCAGUGGAAUUUUUAAAAUAUACACAUCAAAAUAAAUCACUGGUCAAUAAAGACUAUCACUAGAAAAUUAGAACAUUUUUAGAAUUAAAUAAAAAUGUAGCAUAAUAAAGUUUAUGAGACAACAGUAUUUACAAAGGAAUUAUGCAGCUCUAUACACCUGAAUUAAAAAUGACAAAAAGUUUUAAACUAGCCCUCCACUUUAAGAACUAAAAAUAGAAAUCUACAUAUUAUUCACAUAUAAUACAAUCAAACAGUUAUACAUGAAUGGAAAUCAAACCAAUGUU